AACGAACGCUGGCGGCGUGCUUAACACAUGCAAGUCGCACGAGAAAUCCUGGGCAACCGGGAGAGUAAAGUGGCGCACGGGUGAGUAACGCGUGGGUAACCUACCCUUGAGUUGGGGAUAACCCCGCGAAAGCGGGGCUAAUACCGAAUAACAAUUCAGUCUCUAUGGGGAUUGAAUUUAAAGAUAGCCUCUACGUGUAAGCUAUUGCUCAUGGCUGGGCCCGCGUACCAUCAGCUUGUUGGUAGGGUAAAAGCCUACCAAGGCAACGAUGGUUAGCUGGUCUGAGAGGAUGGCCAGCCACACUGGAACUGAGACACGGUCCAGACUCCUACGGGAGGCAGCAGUGGGGAAUCUUGCGCAAUGGGGGAAGCCCUGACGCAGCAACGCCGCGUGGGUGAUGAAGGCCUUCGGGUCGUAAACUCCUGUUGAUCGGGACGAAAAGCUUCAACCUAAUACGUUGAAGACUGACGGUACCGGUUGAGGAAGCCACGGCUAACUCUGUGCCAGCCGCCGCAGUAA
rnacentral:rRNA from 1 species